rnacentral:rRNA from 1 species
GGACUACACGGGUUUCUAAUCCUGUUUGCUCCCCACGCUUUCGUGCAUGAGCGUCAGUGUUAUCCCAGGGGGCUGCCUUCGCCAUCGGUAUUCCUCCACAUAUCUACGCAUUUCACUGCUACACGUGGAAUUCUACCCCCCUCUGACACACUCUAGCCAUACAGUCUCAAAUGCAGUUCCCAGGUUGAGCCCGGGGAUUUCACAUCUGACUUAUAUGACCGCCUGCGCACGCUUUACGCCCAGUAAUUCCGAUUAACGCUUGCACCCUACGUAUUACCGCGGCUGCUGGCAC